rnacentral:rRNA from 1 species
GAAUUUUUGUUCAAUAUGUGUCUGGCUAGGAGACGCUGGCGGCGUGCCUAAAACAUGCAAGUCGAACGGGGUCCAUCCUUCGGGAGAAGACCUAGUGGCGAACGGGUGAGUAACACGUGAGCAAUCUGCCUCAGAGUUCGGGAUAAGCCAGGGAAACUUGGUCUAAUACCGGAUGUCCUUACAGAAUCUUCUGUUUUUGUAAGGAAAGUUUUUCGCUUUGAGAGGAGCUCGCGUCCUAUCAGCUUGUUGGUGGGGUAACGGCCUACCAAGGCUUCGACGGGUAGCUGGUCUGAGAGGAUGGUCAGCCACACUGGGACUGAGACACGGCCCAGACUCCUACGGGAGGCAGCAGUUAGGAAUCUUGCGCAAUGGGCGAAAGCCUGACGCAGCAACGCCGCGUGAGGGAUGAAGGCUUUCGGGUUGUAAACCUCUUUCAGCAGGAACGAAAUUGACGGUACCUGCAGAAGAAGCACCGGCCAACUACGUGCCAGCAGCCGCGGUAAUACGUAGGGUGCAAGCGUUGUCCGGAUUUAUUGGGCGUAAAGAGCUCGUAGGCGGCUUAGAUAGUCAGGUGUGAAACCUCCAGGCUCAACCUGGAGACGCCACUUGAUACUUCUAUGGCUAGAGUUCGGUGGGGGUGAGUGGAAUUCCUGGUGUAGCGGUGAAAUGCGCAGAUAUCACGAGGAACACCAAUGGCGAAGGCAGCUCACUGGGCCGAUACUGACGCUGAGGAGCGAAAGCGUGGGGAGCGAACAGGAUUAGAUACCCUGGUAGUCCACGCCGUAACGUUGGGAACUAGGUGUGGGAGGUAUCACGCCUUCCGUGCCGUAGCUAACGCAUUAAGUUCCCCGCCUGGGGGAGUACGGUCGCAAGACUAAAACUCAAAA